GGAGCAAGAUUCAUGAUUCGUCACGUUCGUUUCGCUGGUCUACUACUACUAAACGCAUCAACUGUGCGCGGUAGACCGGUGGACGACACUCAGAACUGAAUCGUCUUCCUGUUAAGACUAAGAACCCGCGCCUUGGCGCGGGUUUUUUU
rnacentral:sRNA from 1 species